UUUCUCCGAUGCAGAAAGCCUCGCGCGCUCGCGACGGGCUAACGUCGGUUUCAUCGCGCGCGCCCUAUCCCUACGACAAACCUGUUUUCGGUACAUGUGAUUAUGUUAUUUCAAAAGUAUUAUUAUCGUGCAGUGUUUUAUACGAACUAUAACGUGAACUAGUGAUAUUUGAAACUGAUUUUCUGUGUUUUUGUACUUUCGUGAAGUGCUUGAAAAGUUUUAAAAGUUACUAAAGAACUCAAACUUUUCAAGAUUGUUUCAAGUGGUUUUGUGUCGCGGGUCAUACUGGAUUUGUUGGCAGAUUUGGUAGAAAUUAAUUGAUAAUAAAGUUAAUUUUGUUGGUGAACUCAUAUCGGUGAUAAGCUGAUUGCUUGUGGUCAUAAACAAAAAGUUGACACACAUCGCUGCAGCUUAAUAUGUCGUAAGGUACUUACGCGGUUAUGAGACGAUGAGCCAUGGAAUCACGCAGUGCGCCGCCGAGCCCCGACGAAACAGGGGAGGCGGUGUUCGAUUCUCGCUGUGGUCGAUAUCCUCACCAACCAUCACUCCAGAGGGCCUUUGCAAGCUGCAGGGAAACAACCAGGCCCCGACCUCAUCAUCGUCAUGCGGUAUCAGAACCUGCACGACCAGAUGAAAGAGUUUUUACCACGGCAGAAGUACAUGAUUACCCUUCUUCAGAAUCUGGAAUCGCAGCAGACUGUCCACACGCUCACAGCAGUAACCCAGAUGAUAGUCCAUGCUAUGACCGCUCUGAUUACGAGGGAAAUUCAAGUUAUAGUUUAAGACAUAAUUUUCAUCACACGGUUGACUGCAAUAAGCAUCGUUCCGAAUUUCACCGUAGCCAUACUCCCGAUUAUCAUGAGCAUGGAUCAGAUAGUGAUAGGGGUCACCCUCGAAGUCAAACCAGCCGUCGACCUUACAGGAAACAUAGACGGGACGAAGAUGAUGGUGCUCAAUCUCUCGAUGAGCGAUGCGCUCGCGAUCUCGAUGAAAUUUUACCCGCACGGCUAGCAGGCAUGAAUUUAUCACGUGAUCAAACAUCUCAGCCGUGGAACCGAAGUAAUAUUGCCGCUACUAUGGAGCGAUUUGAGCCCGUCGAUUAUUCAUACGCAUAUUAUGACCAUCAUUUAUCCAUGCCUUCAUCGUCGAGGAAGGCUAACCGACAACGUGGACGAGGAAUACCAAGAGAUCGAUCUGCUCGACACAAUUACGUAACCAGAUAUGGAACAGAGGAAAAUAUUUAUGAGGAAAUAAGUGAUGGUUCAAGGACAUGCCCCAAACAUCGACAUGCUCCAAGACAAUCUCUUAUUUCCCUUGACAGAAGUGGAGUUGAGGAAGAAGUCCGACGAGUAGAAUCGAGGCAUAAACGGAUAUUAGGAGAAUUAAAUCUAAGCGUUGAAGCCAUGCUAAUGCCAGAAUGUGAGUCGCCAGAUUCAGAACGAGCAGAGGAUCGGGAUAACAUUGAAGAAUUACUAAGGGUGGGUCCUACUGAUGAAUUAUUAUCCCCUGCAAGUUGUAAUCCUCCUGAUUUAGACAGCGGUUUUAGUGGAAGUAGUAGCGGUGCUAGUUACGUAGGCAGUUUGAGAAGAAAGCCGACAGGGUCAGUUCCACAUUUACCAGCUGUUGCAUAUGGAACGCGUGGCGCUGGAGUGCGUAUUUUGGGUGCUGAUGAUUGUCAUUUACGUUGCCCUAGAGAUGUUCCGUCACCACGAAGUUCCAGUUGCGGCGAUGCAAAGUCAAGCGGCUUCUGGAAUAAGAAAGCAUGGAAAAAAAUAUCUGGCUUUUCAAGUUCCAAUAGCAUCAACAAAGCUGGCUUGACCGGUCUACUCGUUAGGUACACUUUCCGGCGUAAGUCCGGCUCGCAGGGCUCUCAAGGCAAGCGAAGACCUGAGCCCGUCAAAUGCGAUGCGUGCCUCUCCCAACGAUGUUAGCCGAUCUAUGAUGAAGCCUGUAGGCCAAGCAGAGCUAAAUCCAGAACUGCUACUAUCCCAUACAGCUACUCCAACGGAAAAUUGGUAGUGCCGCUGGAUUCCCUAGCACAGAGCUAAGGGAGUGAGGAAACAACUCGUCACGCCCGCCUCAGUUUCUACCAUGAAUCUUAUCAAUCACAGAGACAACGACUGUCCAGAAUAUAUAACACUGCGUCUAUAAUAUAAAUUUAUUUGUGUUAGAUGUUUAAUAUGUGUUUGCUUAGAAAUAACAUUCCAAACAAUACAUAUAUAUGAGUAACAAUAAAUGAAUAUUAUGUGCACCUCAAUGGGUCUUAAAGACACAUCGUGAAGGCUUUGACAACCGUCGUGUAAAAAUUGUAAAUAAAAGUAAAUAAAGGCGAGUAUACGUUGACAUGAUAGCCUAAAUGAUAUUUUGCAUUGUUACAUCAAGUUUCAUAGAAACAUAGAGGGAUGUUGUUGUUACUUAUCAAUUUUUAGAUGAUAUUAGGGUACAAGAAAAGGCUGAACAUGACAUUUUGUACUUCAACUUUUUUAAUUUAAAUUAGCACAGAGAGCGUAAGAAAUUGCAAAAUUGCUAUUUAUUUAAAAGUAAAAUGGCUUCUUACUCACAAAUCUACUUGAUUACAUAGUAAUAUUUUCUAUAAAUGUAAAUAAACAGGCAAAUCACUUCACUAUUUUUUGGCGCUGAUUUUUGUACAACAGUCGACCUAUGUUUUGGUGCUUAGUACUAUCAAAAUAAUAGAUAAAUCUUAUUCGAAAUAUCUCUUGCACAUGUAAUGAAUCUCAUGGUCCAACCGAUUAUUUAUAAAACUUGUAAUAAAGCCCUAAGAGGAGUGCUAAGUUAUUCUUUCACGUAAUGAGCAUUGUUAAUAUUUGUUACAUUAUUUGUAUAUUUUGUAAAUAUAAAUAGAAAUGGUGCACACAUUUAUUACUUUAAAUGUUUUUUGUAAAUAAAAAAUAAUCACAUGUAGUAAAUAUGUAAUCAAUUAUUUGGAUAAUGAAUGAUGAAUACAGAACCAUCACUGGCGAACUGCCUUAAAUAUUAUUCGUGUGGAUUAGAAGAGAGCACUUAACAAUGAAUUGUUUUAAAUAAAAAGUAAUCUAGGAGAUUUGUAUAUAAUAUACAUUCAUUUAUACUCCAACACGCUUUUCGUAAAUUAUUGUAAAUAUUAAUAUUUAUAUUUGUUUUAAUCAGCGAGUUAUUAAUUUUGUACGUAUCGUAAGUAACUCGACUGAUAUUACAUAAAUAAUAAUCAAUGUUACACGAAAAUUUUUGUCUGUAAUUAGUGAUCGUGUUCAAGUCAAAAGAGAUUUUUAUUAAAUAAACAUUAAAAAUCAA